rfam:Zea mays cultivar B73 chromosome 10, whole genome shotgun sequence.
ACGACCUUACUUGAACAGGAUCUGUUCUAUAGGAUCGUACCGUUGCAUCCUUGAUUAAUAAGGAGGCAAGCACUUAAGCCUGGUUGAUGAGACAUGACCUGUGGGCCAGAGCGUGAUUAACGGCUAUGAGUUCAGCUCUACUGCUUGCUCUGGUUGCUGUAGAGGAUCGUUCCUUGCUCAGGCUUGCCUGGCUGGGGUGGCCUACAGGUUGUCUGACAGGCU